GAUGAAGAACGCAGCGAAAUGCGAUACGUAAUGUGAAUUGCAGAAUUCAGUGAAUCAUCGAAUCUUUGAACGCAUAUUGCGCUCUCUGGUAUUCCGGAGAGCAUGCUUGUUUGAGUAUCAGUAAACACCUCAACUUCCAUAUCUUUUUUGAAAUGGGAGUUGGACUUGAGUGAUCCCAACGCUUUUCCUCACCGAAAAGUGGCGGGUUACUUGAAAUGCAGGUGCAGCUGGACUUUUCUCUGAGCUAUAAGCAUAUCUAUUUAGUCUGCCUAAAAAACAGAUUAUUACCUUUGCUGCAGCUAACAUAAAGGAGAUUAGUUCUUGUGCUGACUGAUGCAGGAUUCACAAAGACGGCUUCGGCCGACUUUGUAAACUCGAUCUCAAAUCAAGUAAGCCUACCCGCUGAACUUAAGCAUAUCAAUAAGCGGAGGA
rnacentral:misc_RNA from 1 species